rnacentral:piRNA from 1 species
UGCUCUGGGAAGGUAGACGCAGGA